rnacentral:rRNA from 1 species
AGCAAUACAGCCGUGGCGCACGGGUGAGUAACGCGUGGGAACAUCCCUUUCAGUUCGGAAUAACAGCGGGAAACUGCUGACAAUACCGAAUAUUCUCUACGGAGGAAAGAUUUAUCGCUGAAAGAUUGGCCCGCGUCAGAUUAGCUAGUUGGUGGGGUAAUGGCCUACCAAGGCUCCGAUCUGUAGCUGGUCUGAGAGGACGACCAGCCACACUGGAACUGAGACACGGUCCAGACUCCUACGGGAGGCAGCAGUGGGGAAUAUUGGACAAUGGGCGAAAGCCUGAUCCAGCCAUGCCGCGUGAAUGAUGAAGGCCUUAGGG